UGACUGGCUCUGGCGGAGGACGUGUCUACCGCUUUUUCUAACCCUAACUGUAUAGUCGCUCUCUCUAUUGCGUGUUCUGCUGUUUUUCUGACCAGUUUUCAGCAGAAAAGGGAGAUGUCAAAUACUAAAAGCUGGUCAGCCGGUCAAGAGCAAGCUAACAAGUCGCCAUGCUAUGCACAUUGCACUCGGUCGGUGAGUCGACGCUCGACAGAGUGGCAGUGUGUCGAUAUUUUCUUGGCAAGUGCGACUUGUUGACAUGCACAGAUAAAACCGGAGACGCAAACUGUCGGCUGUCGAAGCUAUGACUUCAGACGUUGUCAUCUCCGUACACUU
rnacentral:telomerase_RNA from 1 species